UACAGAGGUCCCAAGCGUUGUUCGGAUUCACUGGGCGUAAAGGGUGCGUAGGCGGUCGGGUAAGUCUGAUGUGAAAUCUCACAGCUUAACUGUGAAACUGCAUUGGAUACUAUCCGGCUAGAGGAAUGGAGGGGAAACUGGAAUACUUGGUGUAGCAGUGAAAUGCGUAGAUAUCAAGUGGAACACCAGUGGCGAAGGCGAGUCUCUGGACAUUUCCUGACGCUGAGGCACGAAAGCCAGGGGAGCAAACGGG
rnacentral:rRNA from 1 species